ensembl:lncRNA
GGAAGAUGGACAGGGACUCUGUUGUCAUAGCUUCAGGGGGAAGAUGGACAGGGACUCUGUUGUCAUAGCUUCAGGGGGAGAUGGACAGGGACUCUGUUGUCAUAGCAUCAGGGGGAGAUGGACAGGGACUCUGUUGUCAUAGCUUCAGGGGGAGAUGGACAGGGACUCUGUUGUCAUAGCUUCAGGGGGAAGAUGGACAGGGACUCUGUUGUCAUAGCUUCAGGGGGGGGAGAUGAACAGGGACUCUGUUGUCAUAGCUUCAGGGGAAGCUCAUUCCACCAUCGGAGGGCAUAGCUUCAGGGGAAGCUCAUUCCACCAUCGGAGGGCAUAGCUUCAGGGGAAGCUCAUUCCACCAUCGGAGGGCAUAGCUUCAGGG